rnacentral:ncRNA from 2 species
UUGUACAUGGUAGGCUUUCAUUCAU